CCUACGGGCGGCAGCAGUGAGGAAUAUUGGUCAAUGGACGAGAGUCUGAACCAGCCAAGUAGCGUGAAGGAUGACUGCCCUAUGGGUUGUAAACUUCUUUUAUAUGGGAAUAAAAUGUUCCACGUGUGGGAUUUUGUAUGUACCAUAUGAAUACGGAUCGGCUAACUCCGUGCCAGCAGCCGCGGUAAUACGGAGGAUCCGAGCGUUAUCCGGAUUUAUUGGGUUUAAAGGGAGCGUAGGUGGAUUGUUAAGUCAGUUGUGAAAGUUUGCGGCUCAACCGUAAAAUUGCAGUUGAAACUGGCAGUCUUGAGUACAGUAGAGGUGGGCGGAAUUCGUGGUGUAGCGGUGAAAUGCUUAGAUAUCACGAAGAACUCCGAUUGCGAAGGCAGUUCACUGGACUGCAACUGACACUGAGGCUCGAAAGUGUGGGUAUCAAACAGGAUUAGAUACCCCUGUAGUC
rnacentral:rRNA from 1 species